CCAAUAGCGUAUAUUAAAGUUGUUGCAGUUAAAAAGCUCGUAGUUGAAUUUCGGAAUCAGUACGUUGGUCGUGCCUUCGGUAUGCACUGGCGUCACUGGUUUCUCCUUUCUGAAGAACCGUGAUGUCAUUAAUUUGGUGUUGCGGGGAAUCAGGACUGUUACUUUGAAAAAAUUAGAGUGUUUAAAGCAGGCUCACGCUUGAAUACAUUAGCAUGGAAUAAUGUAAUAGGACGUUUGAUUCUAUUUUGUUGGUUUCUAGGAUCGACGUAAUGAUUAAUAGGGAUAGUUGGGGGCAUUAGUAUUCAAUUGUCAGAGGUGAAAUUCUUGGAUUUAUUGAAGACUAACUACUGCGAAAGCAUUUGCCAAGGAUGUUUUCAUUAAUCAAGAACGAAAGUUAGGGGAUCGAAGACGAUCAGAUACCGUCGUAGUCUUAACCAUAAACUAUGCCGACUAGGGAUCGGAUGAUGUUAAUUUUAUAAUGACUCAUUCGGCGCCUUACG
rnacentral:rRNA from 1 species